AUCUUCGGAUGUGUAUAAAGUGGCGAACGGCUGAGUAACACGUGGGCAACCUGCCCUUUGCACUGGGAUAGCCUCGGGAAACCGAGGUUAAUACCGGAUACUCCAUAUUUGUCGCAUGGCGAAUAUGGGAAAGCUCCGGCGGCAAAGGAUGGGCCCGCGGCCUGUUAGCUAGUUGGUGGGGUAGUGGCCUACCAAGGCAAUGAUGGGUAGCCGGGUUGAGAGACCGACCGGCCAGAUUGGGACUGAGACACGGCCCAGACUCCUACGGGAGGCAGCAGUGGGGAAUCUUGCACAAUGGGCGAAAGCCUGAUGCAGCGACGCCGCGUGCGGGAUGAAGGCCUUCGGGUUGUAAACCGCUUUCAGCAGGGACGAGGCCGCAAGGUGACGGUACCUGCAGAAGAAGCCCCGGCUAACUACGUGCCAACAGCCGCGGUAAUACGUAGGGGGCAAGCGUUAUCCGGAUUCAUUGGGCGUAAAGCGCGCGUAGGCGGUCUGUUAGGUCAGGAGUUAAAUCUGGGGGCUCAACCCCUAUCCGCUCCCGAUACCGGCAGGCUUGAGUCUGGUAGGGGAAGAUGGAAUUCCAAGUGUAGCGGUGAAAUGCGCAUAUAUUUGGAAGAACACCGGUGGCGAAGGCGGUCUUCUGGGCCAUGACUGACGCUGAGGCGCGAAAGCUAGGGGAGCGAACAGGAUUAGAUACCCUGGUAGUCCUAGCUGUAAACGAUGGACACUAGGUGUGGGGAGAUUAUACUU
rnacentral:rRNA from 1 species